GUGAGGAAUUUUCCGCAAUGGACGAAAGCCUGACGGAGCAAUGCCGCGUGAAGGAUGAAGGCCUAUGGGUUGUAAACUUCUUUUCUCAGAAAAGAAUUAUGACGGUAUCUGAGGAAUAAGCAUCGGCUAACUCUGUGCCAGCAGCCGCGGUAAGACAGAGGAUGCAAGCGUUAUCCGGAAUGAUUGGGCGUAAAGCGUCUGUAGGUUGUUUAAAAAGUAUUCUGUCAAAGAUUAGGGCUUAACCCUAGAUAGGCAGAAUAAACUUUUAAGCUAGAGUUUGGUAGAGGCAGAGGGAAUUCCCGGUGGAGCGGUGAAAUGCGUAGAUAUCGGGAGGAACACCAAAGGCGAAGGCACUCUGCUGGGCCAAUACUAACACUGAGAGACGAAAGCGAGGGGAGCAAAUGGGAUUAGAAACCCCAGUAGUCC
rnacentral:rRNA from 1 species